rnacentral:rRNA from 1 species
UACGGAGGGUGCAAGCGUUAAUCGGAAUUACUGGGCGUAAAGCGCACGCAGGCGGUUUGUUAAGUCAGAUGUGAAAUCCCCGAGCUUAACCUGGGAACUGCAUUUGAAACUGGCAAGCUAGAGUCUUGUAGAGGGGGGUAGAAUUCCAGGUGUAGCGGUGAAAUGCGUAGAGAUCUGGAGGAAUACCGGUGGCGAAGGCGGCCCCCUGGACAAAGACUGACGCUCAGGUGCGAAAGCGUGGGGAGCAAACAGG